AACGAACGCUGGCGGCAUGCCUAACACAUGCAAGUCGAACGAGACCUUCGGGUCUAGCGGCGCACGGGUGCGUAACGCGUGGGAACCUGCCCUUAGGUUCGGAAUAACUCCCCGAAAGGGGUGCUAAUACCGGAUAAUGUCUUCGGACCAAAGAUUUAUCGCCCUUGGAUGGGCCCGCGUUGGAUUAGCUAGUUGGUAGGGUAAAAGCCUACCAAGGCGACGAUCCAUAGCUGGUCUGAGAGGAUGAUCAGCCACACUGGGACUGAGACACGGCCCAGACUCCUACGGGAGGCAGCAGUGGGGAAUAUUGGACAAUGGGCGAAAGCCUGAUCCAGCAAUGCCGCGUGAGUGAUGAAGGCCUUAGGGUUGUAAAGCUCUUUUACCCGGGAUGAUAAUGACAGUACCGGGAGAAUAAGCUCCGGCUAACUCCGUG
rnacentral:rRNA from 1 species